rnacentral:tmRNA from 1 species
ACUUGGAUUUGACAGCAAUGUUGACAAAUUGGUAAGCAUGCAGAGGAAUGAUCGUGAAGAACUCUUUAAACUUUCGAUUGACACUUUUAGAUGGCGAAGAUACUUUUGCUCUCGCAGCUUGAUCUAGGAUUGACUGCUUGACGCUGGUUCAAAAAUUUGGUCACUGGGUUUAAGAAUAUACAGCGCAUUGUUACAGAUGACUGGACGGGGUAGGACUCUCAAGUAUACCGUCGAGUAGAUUCACAUAAUGAGAUAGGUAAAAGGUCGGUUUUGUUCGUUUGGCUGAUUGUUACCGAAAUUAACGAACGAAACAAGCAUGUAGAAAGCUGAUAGGUUGAAUUGCUUGGACGAGGGUUCGAUUCCCUCAAGGUCCACCA